GCCCGGUUAGCUCAAUCGGUAGAGCGUGAGACUCUUAACCUCAAGGUUGCGGGUGAGUAGCCGAGAAUUCAGGCUUCUUAUUCAAAUAUAAAUUACUAUAAGAAUACUAAUAUUGUGCGCUCGGGUUCGACCCCCGCAUCGGACU